GGCUGUGUCGCCACCCUGAACGAGCACAACCCCAUCUGAUCUCGGAAACUAAGCAGGGUCAGGCCUGGUUAGCACUUGGAUGGGACACCACCUAGGAAGACCAUGUGCUAUAGGCG
rnacentral:rRNA from 1 species